rnacentral:tRNA from 1 species
ACGGGUGUAGCUCAAUUGGUAGAGUAGCGGUCUCCAAAACCGUUGGUUGGGGGUUCGAGUCCCUCCUCCCGUGC